UUGAGGUCGGAUUCCUGCCAUGGCUGCUGAAUGAAGUUGAGAAGACCAUGGAGCACAGCAUGGUGGGAAGAACUGUGCUUGACAUGUUGAUCCGUGAAGUGGUUGAAAGAAGGAUAAACGAUUAUGAGAGUAAGGAAGCUGCACAGCCCGCUCAGAGGUCGGAUGAUGUGCCUAACGACCCUAACACAGUGCCAGACCCCUCGAGUAGCCUUGGCGGUUUUCCUGAACAUAUCUAUAUGAAGCCACUCUGCGGAGCCUAAGUUUGGUUCAUUUCCCAUGGAUAGAACCAGCAACCAGUACCCAUUAUUUCUGAUAAUUCAACUAAGCUCGAAAGUAAAAUUCAAAACAAAUGUCUGAA
rnacentral:lncRNA from 1 species